GAGCUUUUAGCUAAUUAAAUGAUCGUCCUGAGAACCUGAUUGCCGGUCGUUUUGUAAUCUUAAAAAACAAAUACGAGCUCUGAAUACGAGUAGGAAUGUCAUCAGAUGAAGAAGCGCGAGUCUGGUUAAGAGAACACUUUCUGCGAACACUAACCAAACUCAAUGGAGUGGAAGCUGUUUUCACUAUGCAUGAAAAUAUUACAGUUACUGGUCAAUAUGAAUGCUCCAGUGCUGAUUUAAAAUAUUUUCAUGUCUCUGGCCUAAAAACUCCUUUGGGGAACUGUAAACAAUCUCUUUUGAGAUCUAGUGAUGUAAUCAGCAUUGAUUUCAAAACACCUUCCAGUCUAUUCCCUUUACCAGUUUCAACUACUGUUUCCAAAGAUUGUUUACAGAGUCAAUAAAUUUGUUUGGUUCAA
rnacentral:lncRNA from 1 species